rnacentral:rRNA from 1 species
AUUGAACGCUGGCGGCAGGCUUAACACAUGCAAGUCGAGCGAGCGGCGGACGGGUGAGUCAUGUCUGGGAAACUGCCUGAUGGAGGGGGAUAACUCCUGGAAACGGUAGCUAAUACCGCAUACCAUCAGAUGUUCCCACAUGGGGUUAGCUAGUAGGUGGGGUAAUGGCUCACCUAGCCGACGAUCCCUAGCUGGUCUGAGGGGAUGACCAGCCACACUUGAACUUAGACACGGUCCAGACUCCUACGUGAGGAAGCAGUGGGGAAGAUUGCACAAUGGGCGCAAGCCUGAUGCAGCCAUGCCGCGUGUGUGAAGAAGGCCUUCGGGUUGUAAAGCACUUGCAGCGAGGAGGCGUUACGCGCAGAAGAAGCAACGGCUAACUCCGUGCCAGCAGCCGCGGUAAUAC